rnacentral:tRNA from 1 species
GCCCAGGUGGCUCAGUUGGUUGAGCAUCCUUCUGCAAACCAGAAGGAUGCUGGUUUGAUUCCUGGUCAGGGCA